UGAGGCGGAGCUAAUCCCUUAAAGCCAUUCUCAGUUCGGAUUGUAGGCUGAAACUCGCCUACAUGAAGCUGGAGUUACUAGUAAUCGCAGAUCAGAAUGCUGCGGUGAAUGCGUUCCCGGGUCUUGUACACACCGCCCGUCACACCACGGAAGUUGGGGGCGCCCGAAGCCACUUAGCUAACCCUUUUGGGAAGCGAGUGUCGAAGGUGAAAUCAAUAACUGGGGUGAAGUCGUAACAAGGUAGC
rnacentral:rRNA from 1 species